UCCUACAUACGAUCAGAGAAAAUCCACUUU
rnacentral:piRNA from 2 species